GCCCCGUUGCGUCACUGCCGACGUCAAACCCUGCCCUCGCGCCCCUCAGCCCGGCGGGGAAGGGAGCGGAAGGGGGGGGAAGCACCGAACUACAUCUCCCAUGACCGCCGUGGCCUGCGGGGGCCUCGGCAGCGGCGAUGGCGGGGCUGGCAGGGGCCGCCUGCACAGCGGGCGCCCCAGGCUCCAGGGUGGCCCGCGCGGGCCCGUUCCUGAGGGAGGCGAGGCGCGGCCCCUCACACCACCGGCCCCCCUUUCUCCGCGCCCGGCGGCUAAAAAUACUCCCCACAGGUAGCAACGCCGGGCGAUUGGCUGCCCGCCCCGGCGGCCGCCGCUGAUUGGCCAGCGGGGCCGGGGGGCGGAGCCAGGCCGGGUUUUGGGGGGAACGGGAGCGGCCCAUGGGGGGGAGGCGGUUUCCCCUCAGCGCCGGCGGGGCCCGAGGUGGGGGCUCCAGGGACACAUGGGAUGGGAUGGGAUGGGAUGGAGUGGGUCCGUUUGGGAUGCGGCCCAUCCCGGCGUUCCUUAAAACAUCCCCGGGUUUGCUCUUUAAACACCCCUCGGGGUGUUCAGGGUUGGCGCUGGGGCGGUUUCUCUCACGCCGCCAGCAGGACCCGGUUCUGGAGGACAAGUUGGGAAGGGGUUUGUUUUUGUAUUUUUUUUAAAUUCUCCGCCUCUUGCUCUGUUUGUAUAAUAAUAAAGCGUUUUGGCAUAAGCGCUACGUGGGCCCCGGGAGAGAUUUGGACAUGCUGGGACUUUAACCCUUUGAAGCUGAGAAUGUAUUUGAAAAUGGGAGGCAGUACCCAAAAGCUGAAAUAUUAAGGGAAAGAAGAGGCUUUCCCAUCCACAGCUUACUUCUGAUGGAAGGCUUAAUUCACUGUAAAACAUAGUUUUUAUUCAGACGUAUCAAUGUUGAUGCUACGGGGAUUGCAGUAUUGCAAACAACUUGAAUAUCUUGAUUAAGACUCAAAAUAUUUACAAUUUAUCCCUGUAUUUCUCACCCAUUUUUAAAUCUUGAGGGUUGCACAUGCCUUCAAUGAAAACUGGGUCACUUGUCUCUGUGCACCCCAAAGGGAAAAUGAAAUAUGAAGAUUAUUACAUUACAAGCACUGGCAACUGGGAGACUACUGGGAACUGCUGUAGCAUCUCUGGGAAUCUGAAAGAAAGCCCUGGGUAUUUGUUUUGAUCAGAAAGAGUCAAAGUGAAACAACUCCCUAAACAGAGAAGGUGAAAAGACAAAUAGAGGGGGUUGUUUUGUUUUGUUUUUGUUUUGAUAUUAGAGCUCAGGAGUCUCUGUAGAACAACAAACACACAUUGGCAGGUGACAUCAGCCACCGGUGGUGGUUCAGCUCUCGCUGCACUCAGUUCUGGGGUGGCAGCAGUAGAUUUCCCUUUGAAGUGGGAACAACUGCACAGCGCUGCAGAUCAGUGUUUUCAGGCCAACAUCAGUAAAAGGAACUGAUCUGCAGGAGAUUAGAGCUCAGAGCUCACAAGAACAUCACUCUCCUAAGUGGAAUGCUAUCUAUAUAAUAGCUUACCUGGAAAAAGUUGAUGGAGUUCUGAGCAAGACACAGAAAGCAGCUGCUGGGUAAGAAGGAGAAAUAAAACCAGGAGAAAUAAAGAUUUUGCACCAAA